GACGAACGCUGGCGGCGUGCCUAAUACAUGCAAGUUGAGCGCUGAAGGUUGGUACUUGUACCAACUGGAUGAGCAGCGAACGGGUGAGUAACGCGUGGGGAAUCUGCCUUUGAGCGGGGGACAACAUUUGGAAACGAAUGCUAAUACCGCAUAAAAACUUUAAACACAAGUUUUAAGUUUGAAAGAUGCAAUUGCAUCACUCAAAGAUGAUCCCGCGUUGUAUUAGCUAGUUGGUGAGGUAAAGGCUCACCAAGGCGAUGAUACAUAGCCGACCUGAGAGGGUGAUCGGCCACAUUGGGACUGAGGCACGGCCCAAACUCCUACGGGAGGCAGCAGUAGGGAAUCUUCGGCAAUGGACGAAAGUCUGACCGAGCAACGCCGCGUGAGUGAAGAAGGUUGUCGGAUCGUAAAACUCUGUUGGUAGAGAAGAACGUUGGUGAGAGUGGAAAGCUCAUCAAGUGACGGUAACUACCCAGAAAGGGACGGCUAACUACGUG
rnacentral:rRNA from 1 species